rnacentral:miRNA from 1 species
UGGGUUGGCCAAAAAGUUCGUUCAGGUUUUUCUAUACGGAAAAGUCUGAACAAACAUUUUGGCCAGCCCAGU